UGCAUUUGUGCAGUAGCAGGUUGUGGAUAAAAUUUAUCCUUGAAUUAAAUUUUCGACAGUAGUUACAACUGACAGUUUAGUUGGAGGACAUCUCUUAAUAAUAUGUGGAUGAUUUAUGUUAAUCAAUGUAUCCAGUAACCCUUGAUUCAUGUUCACAUUAAUUGUUUACAACUUUUGUUUUACAGUUCAGGUUUUCAAUCAAACAACUGACUAGCAACUAUGAAAUCAGUUUCUGUUCAAAAGAGCAGGCCUCACACCAUGACAAGUGUGGCUGUUUGGACUGCAGUGUGCAUUAUAGCAAUAAAUUUUCAUUUACUAAAUAUAAGAGAAUGAUAUAU